CCAAAUAAAACACUUCUCCAACACCUAACCCGAAAAGGCGAAAACCCAUUAUUCCUGAACCUAACGCGCGCUGCCACCAAACCCAAAAACAAAGACCUGUGCUCUACUCCGGCGACGAUCUGCUCCAGCAUCUGCUCCGAUGACGAUCUGCUCCAGCGGCUGCUCCAUUGACGAUCUACUCCAGCGGCUAAUCCGGCGACGAUAUUCUCAGUGGCGUUAUCCUCUGACGAGAUUGUGUGCUCUCUCCAGUGACGAUCUGCUCUAGAAGGUUCUCCUCCGGCGGCGUGUUCGCCUCCAGCUACAAUUUCUGUGUGAGAGCAAGAAACUUCAUAAAACUACGAGGAUCUGUUGCGCAAGUAUUUCCUCCGACGAUCUUCUUCGGUGGCGAUCUCCUCCAUCAACGCUUCUCUUCCAUUGAUGAGAUCUGUUGCGCAAGUGUUUUCUACGGCAUCGAGUUGUGUUCUGCGAUUUCUCCAUCUCCAUCGAGCUUCAUUGAACAUCUAGGUUUUUUAUUUUCUUCCUUGUUAGAAGAAAUUGGAGGUGAUUGGUAUCUUUGAGGAGUUCCUUUCUUCUCAAGAUAGUGGUGCUCAUCAAUUGUCAGAAAAAGGAGUCUUGCAAGUUUUGUUAGAUGUAAAAUUUACCACUGAUAUACUGUCUGGUGGUGAUUCAAAUGUGGUUGGGGAAUUACAUAGAAACGCAAAGGCAAAAGUAUCUGUCAGGAGGAAGCAGGACCAAAGUUCGAAGACCUCAGCCAUUAGAGAACAUUCAGAUCAGUUAUUAAACCGCCUUUCUCAGAGGCUUGAUCCUAUUGACUGGCUUAUGUAUCAACCAUAUCUAUGGGAGAAUGAGCGGCAGUCAUAUCUGCGACAUGCUGUGCUGUUUGGUUUCUUUGUGCAACUUAACCGGAAGUACACUGACACUGUUCAGAAACUACCCACUAAUUCCAAGUCUAAUAUUCUUAGGUGUUCUACGGUUCCCAUUUCAAGUACCUCCCCAUCAGAGGAAUCAUAAAGGGAACUGGAUAUCUGUGUUCAUGUGAUGACUGCAAACAGAUAUUGAAUCAAAGAUAAGAAGAAUUGAGGAUGACCCUGAAGGAUCUGGGACCUCCCAUUUGCAUAGUAUUAUUCAAGGAGUUAAUUUGCAAGCUAAUCGUGCUUUGAAGCCUUUGUUUGAGAGACAAGUGAGUGAAGUCUAAAUUUUACAUUUUCUUCCAGAAAUCAGGUUCCCCUCCCUUCCCCCUUCCUCUUUAUUAACUUUCAUUUAUUGCUUUUAGAGGAUGCUUUCAAUAGAGUAAUUGAUUUAUUCUAGAAUUCUAAUUAAAAUAUAAGGAUCACUUAUCUUACUUGGAGCAGAUUCUAUCUCAUGGUUUCUUCCAUGCUGACCCUGUAAGUUUUAUAUUCCUGAGUUGCUAAAUAUUUUAGACUCUCUCUCUCUCUCUCUCUCUCUCUCUCUCUCUCUCUCUGAGUUGUUGACCCUGUAACUCACUAACUUGCCAUGUUCUUCUCUUUAGGAUGUCUCAAGAAUUGAAACAGCUCCAGAGUAUGUUGCCGAUCAUAUGCUUUAGAGAUGGAAGUCCUGCACUGCCAGAUGCCUUAUCAAUGACGAAUUCAGCAAUCUCAAGGAUAAAUAGUCUUGAUAUAGGCUGUGUUUUCCAAUGCAGAAAAAUACCCCUAUGACAUUGACAAACAAUCAGGGUUAGUUUGUAGGAUUAUUUGGUGGCGAAGAGAAUUGAUGAUGGUGAGCUCAUCAAGAAAUUCCAUCUUCUGCUCUUGUGAUCGAAACCAUGGAGGCUUUGACUGUAGCAUUGAAAUUGUAACUCAUCAAGAUGGCAAAAUUAGAUAUAUGCGCAAGUCCAGAUAGUUUGAUAAUAUCAUUAGACAAAUUAAUGACGGUAAAAACUACCUGGAAAAAAAAAAGGUAUUUCUUGGGGACAUGGGAGCAGGGAAGACAAGUUUGGUUCUUAGAUUUGUGAAAGGCCAAUUUUCUGAGUACCAGGUUACUCUUAGUUAUUGCAUUUUCUUAAUAUAUUAUAUGGCUAUUAGUGUUGGGAAUGGAUUAACCUUAUUCUAUGUGGAAGGGUGCAGGAAUCAAUAAUUGGGGCAGCGUUCUUCACUCAGGUUUUGUCUUUGAACGAAGCCACUGUCAAAUUUGAUAUAUGGCCAAAUACAUCAAAUUGUUGUGCUUUGCUUUUAAUCAGAUCAGGAGACACAAGAUGUUAAUGCGGAUGCUUGGCACGAUCUUGCCUUAGGCCAAGAAUAGAAAGUUGAUUAGUUUCAUGCUUUGGAGUAGGUUUGAGACAAUGAUGCUUCUUGUUCUUGAACUACGAGCCAUCCUUCCUAUUUCUUGGAUAAAUUUUAUACUUCCAAUUUUAUGAACCAGUUCAUGUGAUGUCAUUGCCCAUGGAUUGCUGUCACUAGAAGUACCUUGUAUAGUUGUAUUGCCGGUUAAUAGAAAUCAGCACUUGAUAAUGCAUUUUGGCAUGUUUAUUAGAUUUUUUGUUCAAGUAAUACCUUUAAUAAAGUAAGCAGAAAAUAUUGUAUCUU